rnacentral:rRNA from 1 species
GAUGAACGCUGGCGGCGUGCCUAAUACAUGCAAGUCGAGCGAACGGACGAGAAGCUUGCUUCUCUGAUGUUAGCGGCGGACGGGUGAGUAACACGUGGAUAACCUACCUAUAAGACUGGGAUAACUUCGGGAAACCGGAGCUAAUACCGGAUAAUAUUUUGAACCGCAUGGUUCAAAAGUGAAAGACGGUCUUGCUGUCACUUAUAGAUGGAUCCGCGCUGCAUUAGCUAGUUGGUAAGGUAACGGCUUACCAAGGCAACGAUGCAUAGCCGACCUGAGAGGGUGGUCGGCCACACUGGAACUGAGACACGGUCCAGGCUCCUACGGGAGGCAGCAGUAGGGAAUCUUCCGCAAUGGGCGAAAGCCUGACGGAGCAACGCCGCGUGAGUGAUGAAGGUCUUCGGAUCGUAAAACUCUGUUAUUAGGGAAGAACAUAUGUGUAAGUAACUGUGCACAGCUUGACGGUACCUAAUCAGAAAGCCACGGCUAACUACGUG